rnacentral:tRNA from 1 species
GAGGGUAUAGCUCAGUGGUAGAGUACUUGCCUAGCGUGAGUACAUGAGGUCCUAGGUUCAAUCCCCAGUACUUCCA